rnacentral:misc_RNA from 1 species
AGACCAUAAGGCUUUGCCUUGCGUUGAUUUAUUGGAGUGAUCCAAUAAUCUAAACUUGUUGGCGUCGUAGUUUGACCAAGACACAGCACAAUGUGACACUGGUGAAAAUAAUUGACUGCCUAUUCGAACUGUUCUCUUAUGGAAAACGUAG